CCUANGGGAGGCAGCAGUGGGGAAUAUUGCGCAAUGGGGGAAACCCUGACGCAGCAACGCCGCGUGAAGGAUGAAGGUUUUCGGAUUGUAAACUUCUUUGAUGAGGGACGAAAAAAGACGGUACCUCAAAAACAAGCCACGGCUAACUACGUGCCAGCAGCCGCGGUAAUACGUAGGUGGCGAGCGUUGUCCGGAAUUACUGGGUGUAAAGGGCGUGUAGGCGGGAGAAUAAGUCAGAUGUGAAAUACCGUAGCUUAACUACGGGGCUGCAUCUGAAACUAUACUUCUUGAGUGUCGGAGAGGAAAGCGGAAUUCCCAGUGUAGCGGUGAAAUGCGUAGAUAUUGGGAGGAACACCAGUGGCGAAGGCGGCUUUCUGGACGAUAACUGACGCUGAGGCGCGAAAGCGUGGGGAGCAAACAGGAUUAGAUACCCUGNUANUC
rnacentral:rRNA from 1 species